rnacentral:rRNA from 1 species
UCUUGGUUAUAAAUCAAUAUAUAUUAUUUACCAGAGUACUAUGAAUACCAGAAAUUUAAAACUCAAAGAGCUUGGCGGUGUUUUAGACUACUCAGGGGAACCUGUCUCAUAAUCGAUAAUCCACGUUAGACCUGACCUUUUUUUGUACCCAGCUUGUAUACCGUUGUCGUCAGGUAACUUUUUAGAAAUUAAAAGUUAGCUAUAAGCCAUAUAAGCUGAAACGUCAAAUCAAGGUGCAGUUUACAAGAAGGGGAGGAUGGGUUACAAUUAUAAAAUUAUAAAUACGGAAAGCUAUUAGAAUUAAAGCUAUGAAGGAGGACUUGAAAGUAAAAAGAAUUAUAUAAAUAUUUUGAAUAAAGCUCUGAAAUGUGC